CCAGCCCGGCCGAGCGGAGCCGAGCCCAGCCGAGCCCGGCCUAGCUUAGAGAAGCUGAGCCGAGUCGAGCCCGGCCCAGCCCUUGCCCGACCCAAAUGGCGCCCGCGGGGCCCCUCAGGGGCGAGGGGGUGGAGGGGCAAUGGCGGUGGGACCCUCGUGACCCCGUGAGGGAGACGGCGCUGAGCCCCUCAUGAGCCACAGAGGGGAUUGAGGGGGACGAGGGGAGAUGGCGUUGGAGACGGUCAUGGGAUGUGAGGGGGAAUGUGACGGGAGAUGGCACUGAGUCCCUCUUGAGCCAGCAACAGGGACAUGAGAGGAGAUGACAUUGGAGAGGUGAGAGGAGAUGAGUGGGUGAGGGAGAUGGCACUGGGGACAGUGAGGGACGUGAGGAGAGAUGGUGUUGGCUCUCUCAUGAGCUACUGAUGGAACGCGAGGGGAGAUAGCAUUGGGGACAGUGAGGGGACAUGAGGGGAGAUGGUGUUGGGGACAGUGAGGGGGGAUGUGAGGGGAGAUGGCACCGGGUCCCUCGUGGCUCUGGGCUCUUUGAGGGGACAUGGGAGGAGGUGGUGUGGGAGACAGUGAGGGCAUGAAGGGAGAUGGCACAAAGUCCCACGCAGCCCCAGGCUCAGUGAGGGGACAUUAAGGGAGAUGGCACUGGAGACAGUGAGGGGACAUGAGGGGGGAUGGCUUUGAGUUCAUUAUGUCCUUGACCUUGGUGAGGGGAGAUGGCAUUUGGGACCCUCAUGACCCAGUGAGAGGACACGAGAGAAGAUGGCAUUGGGUCCCUCACAGCAAGGAGGGAUGUGAGGGGGGUGAGGGGAGAUGGUGUUGGGUCCCUCACAGUCACCUGAGGGGACAGGAGGGGACAGGGGUGUUGGGUGCCUGCUGAGUGGACACACAGUGGGUUUGGGGACACCAAGUGAGGUGGCCACCAACCGCCCAGCCUCUGGCUUUGGGGUGCUGGCCUCAAAGGAAAGGGAGAUAUUCUGUGGUGAGGGAAAAAUGGGGAGUCCACAUGGCACCCCACCAUUGUGGGCUUCAGCAGUGCUUCCUUCAGUCCCCCUCCAGCAACUUGAAAUAGGGGAUCUAGCUCUUUGUUGGGGUCCAUGUGCUGGGUGGCACCAUGGAUCCAAAAAUGGGCCACAUUAAGUGUUGCUUCAGCCUAAACCUCCAUCGCUGGGAAAAGCUCCUAAGAAACUCAGAUACAAGUCCUACUUGCCAUCACAGGACAGAACCAGGAGCUGGCACAAAGGCUCGAUGGAGGGGGGUUAAAUAAAUAAAAAAUAAUAAUAAACUCUCCUCCUGAGAUUGAGGUGAAGAGUUGUGACUCGAGGCUGGCUUAGUGCCUGCACCCGACCCUGGAACUGAAAAUGGAACUGAAAGUCAAAGCAAUUAAAAAAGGAAAAGCCAGCAGCUCCCCAGGAGCACAUUCCCUGCCAUUCCCACCCCUUCCUCUGUAAAUAACCUGCUGGCAGGGAAGGAAAGGGCUGAGCAAGGACUUGGAUAAAGAAACCACACCAGGCCAAACCUGCUCUUUCCCUGCAGGAACAGCCCAGCCAGUUAAACAGCUUUGGAAACCAUGGGAGAAACUCCCAGGGAAGGGAAGAGAGCGCAGCUCUUUAGUGCUUGGGUUAGAAGUGAGCCAAAGCAGAAAACUCUUUAUUUUUCCAGCUCCCCACCAGCCUCUAGAGAAGAAGAAACAUUUUAAGUGAGAUCCGAAGGAUAAGAGCUUGUCUCAGCAGCUGGGGAGGAAGCCUGAAGUUGGCAUGAAUAACGUGAUCCACAAGGAGAGGAGCCACUGGGCACUUGUGACAGACAGAGAGUGAGGAAGGACAGAAGGCUAUCACCUCCUGAGCAAGGUGUGUUACAUGCAAGAUGCUCCUAAGAUACUACCUAAUGCAGUGCAGUCAUAGGGCACUUCAAUAAUGCUGCCAGUGAUCCAGGCAGGAAAAAAAUUAGUAUUAGGAAAAAAACACAGAAGAAACCGUUGGCUUAUAAGUGAACACACCUCCAUUUCCACAGCCAGGCACAAGUGGUUUGAUUUUAAACCUCGUCCCAUUUCCAUUUCUUAACAAAGGGACUGGGAAACAGCCACUCCUUUGGCAGUGGCUGUUGUGAGGGAUUUCAAUCACCAGCACUCACAUCCUUGUGACUCAGUGCUUUACUGGCAAUCAUGACAGCACCCUGUAAUUAGUACACGUGGUUGUCAGAGGCAAUUAUGUCAUAGUGGAGUGGUUACACUUCCAAGGGGUCCCUGCACCCCCAGCAUGCCCCCAGGGAAUGAGGCAGAGCAGAUAAUCCAUGUAAGACCACAGUGAAUCAAAAGCCGGGCUGGCCAGCAGGAUUUCCCAAAUCCCAUUCUGGUGACAGACGUGCCCAAAAAGUGGUUCCCUUGGCAAAGGCACACCAGGCAUGCGCCCAGACCAUGGGACUGCAGAGAGGCCGGGCAGGGCUGUUGGGAGGCACUGCAGAAUUCCUGAGCAAUGGCUCGGUCACGUUCCUUCUGCUGAGCAUUCCCUGAGUGUUCCGGUGCAACCCUCACCUCACCUCUCUGCACUCUGCUCUUAGCGCAGCCUCAGCGCCCACGUGACUGCUCAGAAAACCCUCAGCUGUUAUUUUUAAACUCCAGACCUCUGUGGGGAGUUUUUAGGGGAGACCUCUACUCCUAAAGGCCCACAAAAAAUAACCAAGGAAAACACACCGACCUGGAGCACCUUUACAUUUAUUGCACAGGGUGUGAUCGUCUCUUGGCUGUAUAAAGGCUGCAGAUUUCAGAGUGCCAAUACCCAAAUUCACAGAAUCCCAGAAUGGUUUGUGUUGGAAGGGACCUUAAAGAUCUUGUUCCACCCCCUGCCAUGGGCAGGGACACUUUCCACUAGCCCAGGUGGCUCCAAGCCCUGUCCAACCUGGCCUUGGACACUUCCAGGGAGGAGGAGGCCAACCUACCCUCCUUCAGCUUUCAUUCCCAAUUCAGACUGGGACAAUCCCAAAUGUGAACACAACCAUAACUGUGGUUAAUUUUCACUUUUAUAUGUUACCAAAAUAAAACCAUCUUCCUCAAGCAGAAAAAACAAGGCCCAAGUGCUCAAAACAGUUUUGAACCAGGGCAUUUAGUCUUUAAAUCAUCUCCCAGCAGAAAAAAUCACAGUGAACGCUUUGGUCAAUGUAUGAUGAGGCUGUAGCAACCCUCACAUCAAACCCUUUCCCACCCUGAGAACAGGAUUCAAAAUGUAGUUUUGCCUCUUAAUUAAUGACCUCAUGACACUAAUGACCUCACUUGGCUCUAACACUGCCAACAGCAGCACAUGCAGAGCUCUGAACAUGUUAGGAAACUACUGCCAAAUUUGUCACAGCAACUGAUUCAUAACCCAUCGUGUCUGUGUCUCUCAUCUGGUACCAACACUGACAACUUUUGAUAGCGAGGACUUAAGACAGUCAAAACCUCAGUGUUGUCCCAAGGAAAAGUGCAAGUUUUUCCAGAUCUGAAGAAGGAACUGCUGCUCCAUGAGAUGCUAUCUUGGGGUUUGUCACUGCGCCCCAAGUUUCAGAGGAGGAAUAUCCUCUGCUCCUCCCUUCCAAAACCUGUUCUCUCACACUAAGAGAAUGGGACUUCAAAAAAGUUAUUUCUAACUACAACUGUCAUGAGCUUUGCGGGGAUAGAAAUGCCAAUGUUUUUAAUGACCCAAGAAAUUAAAUUCCAGCUCCAGGAAAAGAAAACCAUCUCCUAAUCAGGCUGGAAAUGAGGUAUUUAGGCAGGAGACAAGGAGUGCCUUAUUCAUUUUUUCAUCAGACAGAGCUGUGUCCAAGUGCUACAUUUUGUGUUUAUUCUCAUGCUCUUCCACUUCCAAGUCCUGCCUGAAGGACCCAUCAGCCCAUCCCCAAAGAAGGGGAAUACAGGAAUUUCUCAUGCCUGUUCUCAGGCCCUGCCAACUGGAAUAAUUUUACCCACAGAUUUCUACUUGUUACGUUUAAAAUGACAUUUAUGUUAAGGAAAAUCCACUGGCUUUGGCAAAAAAGGCAGAGAAGGAUCUGAGUGCAGAGCUGCUGGCCUCAGAAAUACAGACAGACCAACCAAGCAACAUUAUGAUAAAGUUUUUAUUCAUUUUUUUAAAUAUCAAAUUUUCUUUACACAUCAAUUUUGUUGAUAAACAGUCCCCCGAUAUUAAAAAAAAAAAAAAAUCAAAAAAAGAAUCAAGUGUGUAUUACUCUGGGCAGAACCACAUCCCACUGGUGACACACCCACUCUCCUCCCUUCAGCCGCCUGCGAGGCCGCAGCGUGUUCAGCCCACGAGAGUCAACAACACAAACGCAACCAGCUUUAGGAUUCCUGAGUAUUGAUUCCCUCAAGUUCCCUAAGUGAGUCUGUAAAACUCUGAAGCUAAAAAGCAUCAAAGUGUGACCCAAAGGUACAUUUGGAUCACAGACCAAGCCUCAUCUACACAGUGCAGGAAGAAAUCUCUUGAACACUUCAGAGGGGAAUGAUGUACACGAAACCGACCCCGUUUCCCAAGCUGACUUCCGAGAGAGGCAGGCAAAAAUACCUCUGGAUUUCUCCUCUUUGAAUUCCUGUUAAAGUUCUGGGGAGCUGUUUGGCAAGAAAUCCAAGUCUGGUGAAGAAACCUCUAGGAUCUGCUUCUCCUUUUGUCAAUGGCAUAGCAUCUUAGAGAAGACUGAAGUUAGCAUUCAGCAAGUACACUUAAAUAUUGCUACUUUUGAGGAGAGGAUGGCAAGAGGGAGAGACAAAGACAGGAAGAGAGGAACACAGAGAAGGUACAAGAUUAACAGUCCUGGAGACCAAGUGCCUAUGUAGAAAGUCAAACAGAUGCAGCAACGAGGCAGAUUGUCAGGGUAACAGCACAGCUCAGCUCUGUCCAGCAGCAGGAAAACAUGCCAGGGACCAUCACCAGGAAUAAUCCCUCCUCUUGUCAGUCACUUGUGCCCAGAAACUUCCAGAUUUUGGGAUUUCACUAAACAUCCCUCUGUGCUCACCUACGGCCUUGCGUAGAGAAACACAUGCUCAGCAAAAGGCCAAGGCCAUUGCUUCCAUAUCUUUAAGGUAAAUAAUACAUCCAAAACCAACAGUGGCUCCAGGGAACACCCAGAAACAAUCUCUACAGACCCACCCGGUCCCACAGGCACUGGCAGCUUCACGAAGCAGCUUCUGAGCGUUGCUUUACUCUCUAGAGCAGGACUUCAUGGUGAAAUCCAUUUGCUGAUGUGACAUUAGGACACUGGAGCACCGAUUAAUGAUGAGGGGGAAGAGAAGAGAGCAAAGGUCUGAUUUUAGGCCAGGACACACAGCUCUUUGGAAACCUGAAAAGCUUUUGGUGGUACCUUUAUCCCCUGCUGUAGCCAACAAGCUGUAGCGCUCUGCCAUCCCUCCUUCCAUAGAAAUAUUCCCACUUUGUGAGCCAGGUCAGCACAGGACCAGCGAAGGGAUUGCUGGAAGCUGAGCAGAGGACGUGUGUGUGCACACAGCAGAGAGGACACACAUUGAAACAAAGACAACUUUUAGACAGCGUUCGCUAAACACACAUUCUAUUACAUUUUAUUUUAACCUUAAAUACUCACCACUGCCCCAAUUUUCUCCUAAAUCUUGCUCCUAAAAAAAUUAUUCACUAAUU